GCCUCCUGAGUGGCUGGGGCUACAGUGCUCACCACCACACCCGCGUAAAGUUUUUUAUUUUUUGUAGAGCUGGGUCUUGCUGUGUUGCUCAGACUGGUCUUGAACUCCUGGGCUCAAGGGAUUCUCCCAAAGCACUGGGAUUACAGUAACUACAGUUCGGAAGAGAUGAGGUGGCUUUUCCAGGAUUACACAGAAAUAAAAAAUGGAGCCAGGAUUAGAACCGAGCCUGUCUGAGAUCAAAGGUUAUGAUCAUUCCCAUUCGCAGCUCACUUCCAAAUGGCCAACGGGACACAGUGUCUGCCCUUCUAGAGCUUACACAUCGCUGAUGUCGACUACGACCCUGGACCAAGUGAACUCCUAGGUGUGAAGGAAAUGAGCAUAUUUUGAGCAAGGCUGGGACGCUGGGAAGAGGCUGGUGAUGGCAAUGGCAGUGCUUCCCAAACAGGCAGAGCUCCCGCUUCAUUAUCCAGUUUCUUCAAACUCCCUCCCUCUGACCUACCCCAGACUACUGGACUAUAGGUGCCAACGUCCGGCUCUGACCUCAGACCUCUCUUGCUCAGCAUGAGGAAGACGCACUCCAGCUUGGAGGGAUGAAUACACCUGCCCAAGGCCACAAGAUGCAGAGAAACCAGACUCAUCUCAACUGCAAGCUCUCAACUACUCUUGUACACUAAAUUCCUCCUCCUCCAGGCAGCCCUCCUGGUUUCCACUCCUGCAGGGGCAGGGCCCUCCGCUGGGCUGUCACUGCUGGUGUGUGUUUUGCCAUCACAUCCCUGAGCUCCAUGGCUUGUAAGCUCAGGUCCUCAGCUGUCUCCCUCCCUUAAACUGGAAUCUGGUGGGAGGGGAGGUCUGGGUGGGGGUAGGGAUGGCAGAUUUUAUCUGUUUUGCCCAACCCAGUAGCCCAGGGUCUAGAACCGGGCCUGGUACACAGCAAGCGCUCAAUAAAUGUUGCUUAUCCAGGGGGACGGAUUCACAUCUAGCCCACCCCAUCAUGAAUCCCGUAAUGAAUUCUGUUCACAUCAGAUGCCCAGCUCUGCACAAAUGCUGGAAUACAGUAGGCGUUCAAUAAAUGUUCUGUGCCUGAAGCAGCGGAGGGAGAGGUGCAGAAACGAUGUCACAGUCACAGGUGUGAGGCUCCCGGGCCUCAUGAAAGACUGUUAAAUAAACGAGAAGACGGGCAGCAGGGGAAAACGAGGCACGGAGAGGGGCGUGCCCAGUCUGAAGCCACACACCACCCCAGCAGGGGUCCUUCCCAGGUGCGCACACGCCGGCCAACCCUGCCGGCCGCCUCCAGCCCCCUGCUGCUGUCCCCGCCGCCACCAGGAGCGCCAACUGCUCCCGCGGUCCCCCCGCCAGGCCGCCCAGCCCGCCUUCUCCCCGGGGCUGGUGCGUCACACGCGGAAUCUCAC